AGAGAGCAAAAACCAGGCCUCUUGCCAAACCCUAGCCGCCUAUCUCAGCGCGACCUCCCCCAAUCACGUUCGUCGUCUCGCUCGUCUCCGCAGCCCAAUCGCCUCCGUCCCGCUUCUCCUCCUCCUCUAGCUCGCCACCCUUCCGCCGUCUCUCCUUCUCUGCUACACACGCCGCCGCAUCCCCUCGUCGGACCAGUAGGGGAGAGCAGCAGCGGCGGCGGCGUCCUCCGGACACAACCAUGUCCGAGCGACCGCCGCCUCCGUCGAUUUCUCCCGCACCGCUGCUCCCACCGCCGAGUUUUCCCGUGCCGACAUCGCUGGAGGCCUCCCAGCACCACCAUACCAUGGGAGCUUGGUGGCGGGCGGGCGGGAGGCGCUGCAGGGGCGCAUCCCGGAGGUGGACGGCGGCGAGGAAAGAGCCGGACGGGGCCUCGCGUAGUUGUCGUGGCUGGGAGAAAGAGCGCAGGCCGCCGCUCGUGUCGUCGCCUCGCACUGCCGCCAUCUUCGCCGCCGGCAGCGUUCCAUCUCCCAUACCAUGCCCCUCCUCUAGCUGCAGAACCACACCUCCAUCUUAUGCCAAGAAGUGAGAGAUCAGAUGUGAACUUGCAGCAGGUCAUAGCAUCUGAAGAGUGUUGGCCAUGGCGGAGGCCAUCGACGGAGCCUUGCAUUCUACAUUUCUAUAAUUAUCACGGCUGCCUGGUGUGCCUGUAUUUCAGUUGAAUUUUUCAGUUAUAAUUAUGUACAAUUUGUGGUUUAAGUGGAUGAUUCCUUAGUCUUGGUAAUUAGAAAAUCAUAAGAAGUUGACCACUGAUCCUGAUGGAAAAUAAUUGGUGUUUUAUUACAGUUGUGUUCCAGACGAUGAGAUGGAGGGGAUGAAGCCAACAUUCAGCGAUUCUUCCAAUUACCGUCAGAGACGAAGAACUCGGCGUUCCAAGGAGCGAGUGCAGUUGGAAGAUUAUGGUCAAUGAUUUGUUGUCUCGGAGGAUCGGAAGCUUUACUGGGAUGACAUCCUUUACCAGUACACACAGCCGGCCACCUAAGUUCUGGCCUAACCAGCCUUCUAAUUUCAGAUCAACACGCAUAAAUAUUCUACCGCCGUGAAGCACAUACUGGAUUCUCUUUUGGUCACCGUGGCGAGGAAUCUAGGACUGGAACCACCAACGAUCGCUGAGAAAUGUGCCAGCGGGAUACAAUCAUUCAGGAUGAACUACUGUCCCUGUCUCCUGUGCAUGCGGCAGCCGGACAAAGUCGUCAGCUUCUCUCCACACUCCAAUUCUGAUCUGCUCUCUUGCGCUCCAAGUAAAUAAUGUGCAAGGUGUGCAGAUCAAGAGGAAUGACAUCUGGUUUCCUGUCAGUCCAGUCGAGGGCGUGUUCAUUGUCAACAUCGGAGAUAAUUUCGAGGGUAAUUAUCUUUUAUCAAGAUUGGUUUCUCCUUUAAAAAUUUCACUUGGAGAGGAGGUAUGGCACAGAAGAAAUCCCAGACUACAUGUAUUCGCUUAUAAAGUAGUGGCUUUGUACUGAAGAAUUACUUAGCUAUUCAUGUAUUGAAUAUAAUCCGUGCUCUCCUUUUAUAAAAAAGGCAAUGCGACAAUUGUAACACUAGAUAAACUUUUAGAUCCUGAAGGUUGAUGGGAUGUAUCAAGUGAAGAAAAUAUAUUUGAUUCUUCUUUCAGCUAUGCUUACUUCUAGACUACCUUUUCUUGUAUCACUUCAUUUACCAGGUAACUCCAAAGGAUAAAAACUGGUGCUGAAACUAUAUGUACUCUUUAUUUUGAGCUAUCUGAACAAGGUUGGAGCCAGGUCACAAAGUGUAUUGUGAUUUUUCAAUAUUUCAUAGCAGCACCCAAACUAUCUUUUUCAAAAUUCAGGCUUUGCCACAAAUCGCUCCAGGUUUGCAUAUUUUAUCAAUAGCUUAAUCAUUUGGUUUGGUCCUUGGAAAUUAUACUCGAAUUUAAGCCCGUAAGUACUUGCACUUUUUAGUGGAUAAUAUUUGCCAUGUCUAUUUGGAUUUUAGUGUGCCGCCACUUGCAAAGUUGAGCUAGGCUAGACAGGUUGCCCAUACAUCUCACAAUGUUUUGAAAGGUAUUUUCUCAUAAACAAGACAUCACAUGCCCUUACAUCCAUGAUUUAUGAAAAAGGGUCUUAAUUUGACUUUGCCUGACAUAUAUAGCCAUGUUAAAUCUCCAUUUUUUUUGUAUAAUUUAAUAUGAUGGUCAAUCUGUUUCUUGCCAUGAUUUAUUUUGUUCGCAAUUUGUCUGAUUUCAUCUAAGGGCAUGCAAGGCAUGCAUCUGUCAUGUCCAGACCUACAGUUGCGACAUGAAUGCCAAAUUUUUUAUCUUCUGUGUUACAUACAUAAGACUUUAACUUCUAUUAGUUGCUUAUAAGCCAUAUAUUUGGAAAUCUGCACUGCAAUAAUAAUUAACAUAAAGUAAAUAGCUCACUUCUAUUAGCUGCUUAUAAUUAUCCUGGUCUUAAAAUACCAUAGGUAUGUGUAAGGUAAGAAAAAAUAGUGCCAGCUUAUCAAUGUUUAUACUGAAGAUGCUAUUUCCCAAAAAUAUUUUCAUGCCAAUGAGGCGAAAUCUCCAGUCUAAAUUCGCUUCCCAUUUCAUUCUGCUGGGUAGAUAGUGCCCGCUUACAUAUGAAAAAUGGUGUUAUUCAUGCACUGAGAGUUCGUUUGUACUACACACCAUCGCUCAAGGUUGCUAUGCCGGCAAAAACACCAUGACCAGAUCAUUCUCCAAGGGGGCAGUGCUAAACGAUGCCUGAUGGUAGGAAGAAUACAUCUAAACUCAGUGCUUCCUAACAGUCAGUGAGACCUUUUCAGAGAGUUUAAAGGACUAAUUCCGUAUUCUGCAGUUCUCUAUUUUUCAGACAAAAUUUCAGUUUGUGAAAAUCAUAACUAAUUCAUAUAUAAUCGGAAAAAUGCAAAUAAGAUAAAAAAUGUUCACAAAAAGAAACUUUAUGUGUUUAUAUCAAAAUCAUGCAUGUUUCAAUAUUUGCAAAACUGUUUUAGACAAGAUACGUUUUAACAAGAAAAGCCCAUGCUUGGUUAUUUCGAGCACGUGCUUCUUGGGUAAAGAGGAGUCAGACGAUUCAAAUGAAGUUUUUCUUAAUGUAUCAAUAAGAUAAAGUCCUGCAAGGAGAACAGCUCAAACACUUUCAGCUUUGGUGUUUCCUAUUUUCUACUCUGCUUUUCAUCAACAUGGUUUUAUAUUGUUUUUUUUUCUGAUUACUCUAUGUGCAUCAUUCGUUGGUUUUAUAUUUGUCUCUCUACUGAUUACUCUAUUUUGAAGUGUAAAUUCAUGCACAUUACCACCUCGAAAAAAUUCAUGCACAUUAACUUUAGAAAUUAUAUGCAUCAUUCAUUGGUUCAGGUACAAUGUGGAGAUCAUAUCUUUUUCCUUCGUCUAGCUCAUGUUAACUGACCUUAUUUAGAUUCUCUUACCUUUCACACUAUGUUUACUUCUAAAAUCGUCGCUCGUACUAUGUUGGUGCUCGAAUUGAGCUUGCUAUUAUGUGCAACACUAAGAUUUUUUGAGUACUACUGGAAAAACAAAUCUUUCCUUCGUCCUAAGAUACUACUAAAAUAAUACCAGGGUGGCCAUAAUUUUUCCGUGUAAAGAUAUGUUUGUUAGUGCAUAGGUAGGUCUGGUAUGUUUGAUAGUGCAUAGGUAGGUCUUGGUGUGCAGUACACUUUUGUUAGGAAAAGUGACUUAUGCAACUUCUCGAUACAAAUACUCUUUUAUUGGCAAGUGUGAUACGCUGCUUAUUCUGAAAAGGCAAUGAAUUUCAGCUAAUAUUUCUGCAUAAGUGUUCUGUUAUCACAAUAGUUCGAGGUCUUGGUCAAGUUAUAAUGCUUUCCUUUGCAUAAUUAUUAUUUGUUCUUCAUAGGGUGUUAAUUAUUCUGAAAACACAGUGAAAUUUUAGCUAAUGUUUCUACAUAUUAAUUGGUAGAUGUAUUAGUUAAUUUGUAAUUGUUACCUUAGAUGAAUAAGUAUUUGUUGUUCCUAGGGUAAUGUAUUCCCGAAUCAUUUUCUUUAUCUGAAAAUGGUAAAAGGCUCACUUUAUUUUUCUUGCUGAUGCAUACUGGUAUCCGUUAUAAUUUCUAGCUCAUUGUUCUUUUGGAUUGAUUUUGCAGUAUUCAUGGUUAAUUCAUCUCUGACUGUUUGUUCUUUUUAAUUAAUUGUUGCAGUAUCCAUGGCCACUUAUAUUAAUUCUUAUUUGUAUUUGAUGAUGUUAGUGAUGCCAACACUUUUUUGAAACCUGUGAAUCUUGACCUUCAACCUAUCUAUGCAGCAACAGUAGGUGUCGUCCUAUUUUUCCUAUCAUUCCACUACCAUAGAUGCUCCUCUUAUUUGAAACAGGUGAAUGACUGGAUUGCUGAUUGUUUUUUAUAUGAUGUUUGCAGGCACGAGGAUGUGCUUGUGGCCGUAACAACGCAGCCACUACCUGAUGAUGGCUAUUAUCUGAUCGAGUAGAGAGGAUCAUGAGAUUAUUUUGCUUUGUACAAGAAUGUGCUACUUUUAGGUUGAAAGGCUUGAUAUUCAGGCCUAAAUGUUUUCCUUGGAUCAAGAACUGUUGCGUGGCAUUGACCUACAUCUUUGCCAUGGAUUUCUUGGCCACAUUGCUGCGUUACUUACUGGUUCAUUACUAUUAUUAUCCAUCCCA